rnacentral:rRNA from 1 species
UACGUAGGGUGCGAGCGUUAAUCGGAAUUACUGGGCGUAAAGCGUGCGCAGGCGGUUCGUUGUGUCGGCGGGGAAAGCCCCGGGCUUAACCUGGGAAUGGCCGUCGAAACUGGCGAACUGGAGUGUGGCAGAGGGGGGUGGAAUUCCGCGUGUAGCAGUGAAAUGCGUAGAGAUGCGGAGGAACCCCGAUGGCGAAGGCAGCCCCCUGGGCUGACACUGACGCUCAGGCACGAAAGCGUGGGGAGCAAACAGG